GAUCGAACGGCGUGGCGGCGCACAUAAGACAUGCAAGUCGGAACGGACUUAACCAAGUUAGUUUACUAUUGGAGCGGUUAGUGGCGGACUGGUGAGUAACACGUAAGCAACCUGCCUAUCAGAGGGGAACAACAGUUAGAAAUGACUGCUAAUACCGCAUAUGCCUUAGUAACACAUGUUACAAAAGGGAAAGGAGCAAUCCGCUGAUAGAUGGGCUUGCGUCUGAUUAGAUAGUUGGUGAGGUAACGGCUCACCAAGUCGACGAUCAGUAGCCGGACUGAGAGGUUGAACGGCCACAUUGGGACUGAGAUACGGCCCAG
rnacentral:rRNA from 1 species